UACGUAGGGUGCAGGCGUUAAUCGGAAUUACUGGGCGUAAAGCGUGCGCAGGCGGUUUUGUAAGACAGAGGUGAAAUCCCCGGGCUCAACCUGGGAACUGCCUUUGUGACUGCAAGGCUUGAGUGCGGCAGAGGGGGAUGGAAUUCCGCGUGUAGCAGUGAAAUGCGUAGAUAUGCGGAGGAACACCGAUGGCGAAGGCAAUCCCCUGGGCCUGCACUGACGCUCAUGCACGAAAGCGUGGGGAGCAAACAGG
rnacentral:rRNA from 1 species